rnacentral:other from 1 species
GCGGGACUGCCCGGCACGAGCCGCACGAAAAUCCCUGAGGCUAUAAGCAAUCCACGGGAGCUGUCCCUGCUCUGGAACACGGGCCACUGCGUUCUUCGGAAUGGAACCUGGGAACCGGGGCAUACGGCGCCCACCUGACGUUACUUGGCGUCAGAGGAUUUCAAGGCAACGACCCAUGGUGGUUCCGUC